UGAAGUGUUUGUUGCCUCAAUCUGAGGCGAG
rnacentral:sRNA from 1 species